rnacentral:lncRNA from 1 species
CUGCCAGCUGUGGGUGUGGCACGAUGGGUGUGGUAAAACUGGGCAUGGGACAGGGGGGAGAUCGCUGGGCAGGGUAGUGACAGCUGGGGUGUGGCAUUGUCCUGUAUGUCACUGUAACACUGUCACUGUCACUGACACUGUCAUUGUCACUGUCACUGACACUGCUCCGUCAGCGUCACCAUGACACUGUCACUGUCACUGCCCCCUCAGCCUUACACUGUCAUUAUCAUUGUCAUUGUCACUGUCACUGUCACAGCCCCUCAGUGUCACUGUGACACUGUCACUGUCACUGCUCCCUCACCCUCACACUGUCACUGUCACUGUCACUGUCACUGUCACUGCCCCCUCAGUGUCACCGUGACACUGUCACUGUCAUUGUCACCAUCACUGUCACUGUCACUGUCACUGCCCCCUCAGCGUCACCGUGACACUGUCAUUGUCACUGUCACUGUCACCAUCACUGUCACUGUCACCAUCACUGCCCCCUCAGCCUCACACUGUCACUGUCAUUGUCACCGUCACUGUCACUGUCACUGUCCCCUCAGUGUCACACUGUCAC